CCCGCCCCCAGGGCCGCCCUCCGCGGGUGCCUCGGCCUUCCUCACGUUCACCGUGCCGUUAACGGGGGGCCGCGUGUCAACAUAAUUCUGCCCCAGGGGAGUCGUGAGGAAGCCCGCGGGCGCCCAAGCGCAGCUCCCCCGUCCGAAGCAGCCCUGAAGAUCCGUGGGACCCGCGGACGGUCUAAAGUGGAGCAGCCGCUUCAAGCCAGGGGAGGGCCAAAUGCACAGCCCUUGAAUUCCCGGGUGCGUCGGUGGCACUUCAAGAUUUCUAAAGCCCUCUGGGUGUUAUUUACACGUUUCUAUAUAUUUUUUUAAAAAGAAAAUAUAUAGAAUUGUAGAGUUGGAAGGGAACCCGGUCAUCUAGUCCAACCCCCUGCAAUGCAGGAAUCUCAACUAAAUCAUGCAUGACAGACAUGGCGGGGUCAGCCAAAGUUGUUGAGCUUUUUUUCCGAAAAGGAAGGCAUUACGGGGGAGGGGGGUGGCAGAACCUCAGUUACUUAAAUGCUUUUCAAUAAUAUCUGUGGAUGCCCCCUCUUGGCUAGACCCAUUGUGAUAGACAGAUGGUCAUCCACCUGGACAACAUUUACCAUGGUAAGUCUACAUUUGAUGAAGUACAUAAAUUGCUUUCGGAAAACCAAAUAAAUUUUACCUUCUGAAAAUGUCAGGUAAUGCUAAGUAAUUGUAACAUAACAUAACUGCAAGUACUUGGCAAUCAUUUUUAAUUAUUUCGAUGCAAUUUUACACAAUUUAACUUACCAAGCAAAACUAAAUUAUAUUUAUAUCCAAAAUAUCUUUUCAAUUCCCAAGUCAUGUCGCAACCCAUCAUUUUUGGAAUUUGAAAGUUGAAAAAUUCAACAUGUCCUUUGGGUGGGCAUAGCUGAAAGUUCCUAUGUCCAUAAAUAACUGCAUUCAAAACAUACACAUAGGCCAUCAGAAUACAGUAUAUUAUUUUGCUAAUGGCAGGAACAAUACCAUUAAACUGCAGUGUGUUCCUUGAAGUGUUUAUUUGUAUAGCUGCCAGAGAUGAGGUUUACAUUUAAAUGCAAGCGCUGACCAACAUGGUUUGAUAAUUGAUUCAAUUUAAAUUUUAUUUUAUUAGCAUGGUUAUACAACUGUUCUUCAACUUCUAAAAAAAUCUAUGAAGAAUACUUUUCAGAGAUCUGACAGGGUCAGGAAGAACGUGCAACAGAGAAUUAGCCUCAAAUUCCAUUAUUAGCAUGCAAAUUAUUUCCCUCCAACUAGACCAGGCCCAUUUUUACCAUACAUAAUUAUAAGUUUCAGGACUAUGGCAUGGUUCACCAAUUACUAUGGGUAUGAAAUUCUGCAUCAACCUGCCCUGAAACCCACCCACCCUCACUUUCCCUUUAAAUUGUGUUUCUCUACAGAAGACUGUAAAUAUAGGCUUAAAAGUAUAAAGACGGUGUUUAGUAAAAUCUCAGAAAUGAGAGUGGGGGCUAAGCAAGAUUUCAGGUAAACACACUGAUUCAUGUCUAAUGUUAAGUCAUUUUUUGUUUAACAAAUCACACGUUAACCAUAACUUGUCCCACACAGUUUCAGAUUGUGGUUUGUUUGUAGUAAAUAAUCAUAGUUAAACUUACGGGCAAUUUGAACACUCAAACUAUGGUUUAAUAGACCAGUGCUUUGUGUGAAACAAACUGGUUGCCGGUUUGUCACUAUGUCCCUACCCUAUGGCUAACCGAAACAGAAUAUAUAGUGCACUAAAAAGUAAACAUAUAAGACAGGCUAAGUUAUACAGUUAAUAUUAAUUAUACAUUAAUAUUGAAUUUAGAGAGGGACGCGGGUGGUGCUGUGGGUUAAACCACAGAGCCUAGGACUUGCUGAUCAGAAGGUCGGCGGUUUGAAUCCCCGCGAUGGGGUAAGCUCCCAUUGCUCAGUCCCUGCUCCUGCCCACCUAGCAGUUCGAAAGCACGUCAAAGUGCAAGUAGAUAAAUAGGUACCGCCCUGGCGGGAAGGUAAACGGAGUUUCCGUGUGCUGCUCUGGUUUGCCAAAAGCGGCUUAAUCAUGUACGCCGGCUCCCUUGGCCAAUAAAGUGAGAUGAGCGCCGCAACCCCAGAGUUGUCCACGACUGGACCUAAUGGUCAGGGGUCCCUUUACCUUUACCUUUUAUUGAAUUUAGAUGUGUUUUUAAGGCACAUAAUAUUGUUAUAGCUUUGGGGGGAGACCCACCCCCAAACCCUAGAAAUGAAUAAAUGGUAGGAUUUUGUUUAUUUGGGAUGUGAAGGGAGAAAUACAUGUUGCAGAGGAACUCCUGGGCUGGCCUAUGCAAAACAACCUGGCCAAACUAGGGCCUUUAAGAAACAAUUGAGGGCAGUGCAAGAGAACUAUCCUCCCCCUUUGCCCAGAGGCAGGGGUGCCAACUUGAAUAAAGUAUUAGGGGGCAGGUAAGUCUUGCCCAGCAGUGUAGUGUGGGUUGCCAGCACCUGGGGCGGGCACAUGCACGCGGGGGGGGGGCGGAGUGAAAGGUAAAUGGAGCCUGUUGCACCAGCCCCGAAGACCUGGCCUGGGCACAGCUUGGCUUGUGUCUCCAUGGCUCUGGCCUUAAUGAGGGACUCUGUAGUGGGGGGCCUGGUUGCGCCCCCUCAGAAAUCUGUGCCUGAGGCCAUGGGCCCCCUGGCUCCUCCACACUAUGCACCUGACCCCUCCCCACAUAAUCAGUUACAAGACACGGCACAUGCACACCAUUUCAAUGGCAAUGCACAUGUGAUCCUCCCCAAGCGAACGUAAGAGGGGAGCAGCCUGUACGCGCAAAACGCACAGCGCUCCACGCACCUCCGUCGAAGAGGCAGCCCGGCGAGCCUCAACGCCUGCCGCUCUCUAUCCCGCUACCAGUUAAAAUUUCUUUUGUUUGAAAGUGCUUCCAUUUUAGAAUUAAUACACCCAAACCACUGCCCCAAUGAAACUUGAUUGAAGCUUUCCCAUGCUGUCCAUAAAGAAAGGCCUUCUGCCAAACUCAUUAAGACUCCUAAGGUGCAUCUUAUCAGCGUAACAUUUCCAAAGUAAAAGAUACACCCCAUUAACAAGUCAAUGAAGUACUGAGCAUUGAUUUUAAAAUUACAGUUUAAGUUUUAAGAUUUAAUUUAUUUUAAAUUUAUUUAAGAUGCUCUGAGAUGAUCAGGAGAUUGAUUUUCACUCUUAGUAUAUAGAUCUAGAACUAGGAGGCAAAAGACCAGUUCUUUUGACAGUGUAACAUAUACAGGUAGAUUGUUUUUAGGAAUGGAAAAUCCUCAGAGUUCAGAAUUUGGGGUAACCAUAUUUCUAAUAGAUGACCUUUCAGCAUGGUUGCUCUGCAGCUUGAUGAAAUUUAUUUCUUAAGUGUUUUUGUAAUACAACAAUACCCUUUUGUUGAAAGACUUUAUCAGUCCCCUGCCAAGAAAAUUAUUAUUUCAUUUAUUUAUUUAUUUAUUUAUUUAUUUCCCGUCCAUCUGGCUGGGUUUCACCAGCCACUCUGGGCAGCUUCCAACAAAAUAUUAAAAUACAAUAGUCUAUUAAACAUUAAAAGCUUCCCUAAACAGGGCUGCCUUCAGAUGUCUUCUAAAAGUCUGGUAGUUGUUUUCUCUUUGAAAUCUGGUGGAAGGGCAUUCCACAGGGCGGGUGCCACUACCAAGAAGGCCCUCUGCCUGGUUCCCUGUAACUUGGCUUCUCGCAGCAAGGGAACAACCAGAAGGUCCUCAGCACUGGACAUCAGUGUCUGGGCAGAACGAUGGGGGUGGAGACGCUCCUUCAGGUAUGCUGGACCAAGGCCAUUUAGGGCUUUAAAGUUCAGCACCAACACUUUGAAUUGUGCUUAGAAACGUACUGGGAGCCAAUGCAGGUCUUUCAAGACCGGUGUUAUAUGGUCUCAGCGGCCACUCCCAGUCACCAGUGUAGCUGCCGCAGUCUGUAUCAGUUGUAGUUUCCAGGUCACCUUCAAAGGUAGCCCCACGUAGAGCGGGAGAUAACUAAAGCAUGCACCACUCUGGCGAGACAGAAGGCGGGGCAGGUAGGGUCUCAUGUGUACCAGAUGAAGCUGAUAAACAGCUGCCCUGGACACAGAAAUGACCUGCGCCUCCAUGGACAGCUGCGAGGCCAAAAUGACUCCCAGGCUGAGAGAUCCAGCAGAACUAGGAAACUUCUCUCACCUUUGUCCUUAGCCCGCUGGAGAUCAUCGGCCAGUGCGACCUAGGCAGUUUCAGUCCCAUGAUGAGGCCUGAAUCCAGACUGGAAGGGAUCCAAAUGGUUCACUUCUUCCAGGCGUGCCUGUAGUUGUUCAGAAACCACUCGCUCAAUCACCUUGCCCAAGAAUGGAAGAUUUGAGACUGGGCAAUAGUUGGCCAUAUUGGCUGCAUCUAAAGAUUUUUUUUAAUAAGCGCUUUGAUAACUGCUUCUUUUAGCAGGUCUGGGAAGGCUCCCUCACAGAGAGAAGCAUUCACCACCCUGUGAAGCCCAUCGCCCAGACCUUCCUGGCUAGCUUUUAUAAGCCAGGAUGGGCAAGGAUCAAGGAGACAGAUGGUUGGUUUCACUGGUCCAAGCAGCCUGUCCACAUCCUCAGAGGUAACAGAUUGGAAUUGAUCCCACACAACUUGACUAGACAGGACUCUAGCACUCUCCCACCCCGGCCCUGUUCCCACUGUGGAGUCUACCUCUUCCCUAAUCUGUGCGACUUUAUCUGCAAAAAAACUGCAAAAUCAUUGCAGGAGAUAAUGUGGCCCUUACUGGGCCCUGAUGAAGCAGGUGGUUCUGCUAAAUUGCAAACCACCUGAAAAAGUCGCCUGCUGCUGUUUUCUGCAGAUGCAAUAGAGGCGGUGAAGAAAGUCUUCUUCGCCAUCGCUACCGCCACUUGGUAGGCUCGACAUCGAGCUCUAACCCGUGUCCAGUCAGCUUCAGGAUGAGUUAUCUGCCACUGGCAUUCUAGCCGUCUCAGCAAUUGUUUCAUUGCACUCAGAUCUGUGGAAAACCACGGGGCUAUCCAGGCUCCAUGUAAUCGGAGAGGGCGCUUCAGAGCCAAACAGUCAAUAGCCCUGGUUAACUCCACAUUCCAGCGGGCCACCAGGGAAUCAGCUGGAAGAAGAGAAGAAGAAGAGUUUGGAUUUGAUAUCCUGCUUUAUCACUACCCGAAGGAGUCUCAAAGCAGCUAACAUUCUCCUUUCCCUUCCUCCCCCACAACAAACACUCUGUGAGGUGAGUGGGGCUGAGAGACUUCAGAGAAGUGUGACUAGCCCAAGGUCACCCAGCAGCUGCAUGUGGAGGAGCGGAGACUCGAACCCAGUUUCCCAGAUUACGAGACUACUGCUCUUAACCACUACACCACAGUGGCUCUCAACCAUCAACAUGGGAUAAAGCAUCCCCUACCAACUUUCUGGAAACCAUUUGGAUCCAUUAAGUGGUGGGGGUGGACCAUCCGAAUCAGUCCCACCUCCCUGCAGAGGGGAAGGGUCAUGGAGAAGUCCAGUUGCUCCAGGAAGUGAUCCGACCAUGGCACUUCUUUAGUUUCGCUUUUACUUAGUGUUAGAUCACCAACAUCCAUAGAGAAGAACACCAGGUCUAAGGCAUGUCCGCGGCUAUGAGUUGGGCCAGACUUAUUCAGGGACAGCCCCAUGGAGGCCAUGCUUUCCACGAAGUCCCGAGCGGCCCUUUGUAAGGUCGUGUCGGCAUGGAUGUUAAAAUCCCCUAGGACAACCAAACUAGGUAUCUCCAAGAGAAAAUCUGCCACGAUCUGAAGCAGCUCAGGCAGGGAAUCCUUGGUGCAGCGGAGAGGUCGGUACACCAAAAGGAAUCCUAUACUGCCCCUAUUGUCCAACUUCCAGAACAUGCACUCAGAGAACUGGGUCUUCCCAAUAGGAUGCCUGGUGCAAACUAAUGACUUCCUAAAAAUCACUGCAACCCCCCCUCCCCGCCCACAAGCCCUGGGUUGCUGUGCAUAAGAGAUAUCUAGUAGACAAGCAGCGGCGAGGACAGGCCCAUCUGCUUCAUCCAACCAAGUCUCUGUUACACAUGCCAGGUCAAGUCCUCCAUCCACGAUCAAGUCAUGGAUGGCAGUGGUCUUAUGAAUCAUUGACCUGGCAUUGCACAGCAGCACCUUCAGGUCACGUGGGUUAUCCCUUGCUGAUUCCAGUAUAAUAGCUGACAUAUCUAGAUUUCCACAUGAAUUAGAAUGGAUAUCAUUUUCCUCUUCUGCAGUACUGCUUACUUCUAGGUAAUCACAUACCCAGCAACAUUUGUCCAAUGAAAAUAGGGACAUCUUAUGGAAAAGUGGAAGGGACUCGGGUGGCGCUGUGGGUUAAACUACAGAGCCUAGGGCUUGCCAAUCAGAAGGUCGGCGGUUCAAAUCCCCACGACGGGGUGAGCUCCUGCCAACUUAGCAGUUCGAAGGCACAUCAAAGUGCAAGUAGAUAAAUAGGUACCGCUCCGGCGGGAAGGUAAACAGCGUUUCCAUGCGCUGCUCUGGUUUGCCAGAAGCGGCUUAGUCAUGCUGGCCACAUGACCCGGAAGCUGUACGCCGGCUCCCUCGGCCAGUAAAGCGAGAUGAGCGCCACAACCCCAGAGUCGGUCACGACUGGACCUAAGGGUCAGGGGUCCCUUUACCUUAUGGAAAAGUGGGGCAUUCCAGGAUCAAAUCAGAGACCGGGACAGCAUCUCUAAAUCAGGGACGUCCCUGAAAAAUAGGGACUCUUGGAGGGUCUGCUAUACCUAUUUAUAGUUUUAAAAUAAUUCAUGGUAUCCUGCUCUGCAAAAAUAAUCUAUGCUUUCUGUGUGCUAUUUUUGUAUUUGAUAAAAGGAAAUGGAAAAUCUUUUAAAUAUACAGGUCAAGUUUUCACUUUAUGUAAGGAGACUCAACCCCACAGCUACAUGGGCAUGUGGGUAAGGCAAAUUCAGCGCUUAGCUUAGUGCAGGGGCGAAAAAAGGCUUUAUUUCACCUGGGUCAAUGACCCAGUUUGGCACCCCACACACACAUUUGUGUACACACAAACACAGGCUGGAAGCCUCAAUGGUGCCCCUCUGGAGGCUUCAGCUGGGGGGGGAAAGCCACCAGCUAACCUCCCCAGUAGCCAUGGCUCUGCUUAGUGAGUGUGUUAGUUUGACUAUUGUUUGUUCUGCAUGAAAUGUACAAAGGGGGAAAUGUUUUGCUUAAAAUUAAUUUCCUGUCUUUUUUAAUGCUGCAUUUGGGUUUGGCAGUGGAAAGAUGAUGAUGAUGAUUCAUUCAUUUUACUCCCUUUCUAUUAGGUUGUCAGUUCUGCAGGAAAGGUAGAUGGAAGACAAAGGGCUGUAUUGCCACAAAGCUUAUCACCCUGACACUAUUUUUCUGCCACCGCGCCGCCAGAGCACUAUUUAUGGGUUAGCGGAGUAUGUAACCUGAAGCAUUUGUAACCUGAAGCAUAUGUAACCCGAGGUACCUCUGUACUAGGUAAAAUACAGACACCAUUCCAGAACAUAGCAGACAGAAGCAUAAUUAUGUUUUACAAAUUCUUUGGGAAAAUGUAAAUUGAACAAAUUCUAGCAAAAACGAAGAAAAUUGUUUAUUGGUUGAUUCAAAUAGCACCAUCUGGUGGACACACAAUUUCCUAUUUUUCCUUGGACAGAACAUUUCCCAAAUGUUUUUAUUAAUUAGAAUUGAUUACUUGUGUUAACCACAGUUCUAAACUCCUUGUUCAGAGGCAUCCCCUCUCGUGCCUCCACGCUCUAGUGCUGUAUUGAUUCAGUACUCGUAUGUCACCCAUUACUGAAUGCACAAGUUUGAAGUUGAUAAUGCGAGCUACAAUUUUAUUGAAAUUGACAGUUUUGCUUUCCCUAGCAAUAUAAUUGUAUCCUAGGUGUAUAUGUUGCUCUGUAUAUUCACUUUCUUCUUUAAGUUGACCAUGUUUAAUGUCAGGUCUACUUUCUGGUAAAUUAAGCUUCUUUUUCUUAAACAGCUAUCCAAUUCAGAAGCUUUCUACUAAGCCUUAAGCUUUAACCUUAUGCUGACUUACUUAGAAAGUAGAAGCUUUCUACUAAGCGUUAAGCUUUAACCAUAUGCUGAGUCCCACUGAACUCACUGGGAUUAGUUCUGAGUAGACAUAUAUAGCAUGCCCUUUAAUACCAAACUUACAAUUGUCUUAUGCCUAUCAUAUUGUAAGUUAAACUGUUCCACCAAAAAUGAGCUAGUGGUUUUUGCAUACUUGGGUAUAGAGAAGUAUAUUAGUUUUCACAUUAGAAGAAAAAUAAAUGUUUAGAAUGCCCUGACAAGAACCUAUGUUCAGUGAUCAGUUUGGGGAAGGUUGUUUCUUAAAUUAAGAAAGCCCUAAGUACUUUUCAAAAGGUUCUUUAAAAAAUGUAUAAAACAUGGAAAGAAAACAUAGAAAUAGCCUGGUAAGUGAGAUGCUGAACUUUGGGAAGGAGGCGAGAGGGCUGUGACAGGGUCCUAGAAUCCUCCCACCUCCUUCUCAAAGCCUAGUUAGCACUUUCCCAGCUUGGGGGGAAAUGCCCACCUUCUUUGAAAAAUUGGACUGUCUUGUUGUAUUAGGCACCUAUACUUUCUCAAACGUUUCCAGUCUUUGAUGAGAAAAUGCUAAUGACUCUUAAAGAGAGAUGGAAGGAUCUGCCAAUUUUUGUUCUCUCAGUUUUUCAUUUUUCCAAUACAGUGGUACCUCGGUUUUCAAACAUCUCCGUUGACAGACGUUUCGGUUUUCAAACGUCGUAAACCCGGAAGUAACUGCUUCAGUUUUCGAACACUUUUCAGAAGUCAAACAUGCCCCGCAGCUUCCGUAUUGAGUUUUCCGUAUUGUAUUGAGGCUUCCGCAUUAAAUUUUUGGUUUUCGAACGUUUCGGAACUUGAACAGUCUUCCAGAACGGAUUACGUUCGAAAACCGAGGUACCACUGUAUUAAAUUCUGUUCUCGACAUUUUGUAGCAACUUGCUAUAAUUACUACUUUAAAAGCCUCCUGGAAAUUCAUCACCAUUUUAGUGCAAAUUUCUCCUAAUAAACAUACUUUUAUAUGCAGUUUUGACUAAUGUACGCAUUCUUGCAAGCAAUUUUUCAAAUAAAAUGCAAGUUUGUUAUUUUCACUAAUAUCUUCACUUUUAUACACAUUUUCCCCAAAUAUAUUCUUCUGGAGCCUCCUUUAAACAUUGUUGCCCACUUCUUAGCUUAGUGAUAAUAUUAUGCAAUUACUGGGAGAGUUGCCUGUAGGCAACAUGACUGAUGGGAGCUAUGCCAUUUCUAAAAGCUUCAUAGGACUCAUGGUUGCUGUUAUUCCACUGGAAAACCAGUGAGGGCUGAACAGUGAUUCUUGGUAUAACAGAAUAUGGUCAAUAGCAUUGGCUGAAAACUCACCAAAAUCCACAACAAUUGCUCCCUCCAAACCUCCUUUCUCAAUCACUCUCCACAGUCCUCAGAGGUUGAUGCAAAGGCUCAGGGGAUUGCAGUUGCCAAGGUUCCUGGGUUUGCUAGCAGCUUUCCUAUUUAUUUAUUUUUGCACCAUUCUGACACUUUUCCCACUCUUUUUUUUUUUAUAAAUAAUUUUUAUUAACCGACCAAUCAAAUCAUAUCACAUCACAUAAAUUCCGAAUUACAAAGCCGAAUUUUAAAUUUUGUUGAGGGGACCCAUAUUUCAAGAUCCGAAGGAGGAUUCUGGUCAUCUUCUUGCUACUGCGUUACUGUCCGAAUCAGUCCAAACAAAGUUCAUAAUUCUAUCUAGUCUUAUCUUGCUGUUUCCGCAUCUCAUCUUGUUCGUAUAUUUUCUCUUUUUUCUUUAUUAUCUCUUCUGAUAAUCUCCUUAAGCCGAUAAACACCAAUAAUAAUCUUGUGUGAAUUUUCCGUUCAUCCAAUCCUCAAAUCGAGAUGGUUUCCAUAUAUCCUCGCAUUCAUAGAUAACAUCGCUCUUUCCAUCAUUAAUCACAGAACUGUCAUUCUUAAGUCCCUCUGAGAAGUUUCACCCACAAUAUAAAAACAUCUCUAUUUCUCCUCCCAGACUUAAGUCCUCCGACAGAACUUCCCAAUAUGGCGACGGUAUUUUUAACUGCGUCAUUCCAAAGCCCUUAUACAUUCCACGCUCUUCUUAAAACAUGCUUUGGUUAGAAAGUUUAUCUCCACACAGACAUAAAUCCACAGCUUAAGUCCUUCAAACGACAUUUCUGACUUGUGAGGGGGGGGAUUCUUGUUUAAUCACAUAGAGGAAAGAAAGGAAAGUUUUUUUCCCCUCCCCCAUCCAGUCCUUUUGCCAUACCGAGUCUUGGUGUGUCUUCAUCUGGUUAAUUCUUGUUCUUCCAACUCGUCUCAUUUAUCAGAGAUCUCUUCUGUUAGCAGUCUUUACUCCCCCUCCUGCCUUGAAAUAUGUGCAUUCGCUUCAUCCUAAUCGUUUCUUUUGAAGUUCUUGCAGCUAGAGGCGCGGAUCAGAGGCAGCGUCCAGGAGCGCCGAUAUCCACAGAAGGGCAUUCUGCCUAGUGCCCCCAUCCCCUCAAAUUCGGGGGUGGUAUAGGGCACAGCGGGCAAGGGCAGCCCCCCCCCAAUCCUGGGGGGUAGGGAGACUUACUCCCAUCACAGCCUCCAAAUUACCUCGUGUGGGUCGGAGAGAUGUUAUUGUCAGCCAUCUUCUGAUGCGCCCCUAGUGGCCCCGCUUUUUUUCCACUCUUUUCAGGCUUUUUUGCGCCUUUUUGCAGUUUAAAUCACCUUAUUUAAUUAAAUAAUUAUUUAAUUAUUUCCUGGAACUGGUGCAGCAAAAAAGAAGUACCGUAAAAACUGUUCCACCCUCCACCUUUGCCAGUGCAAAUGACUGCAAUUUGUUUUAAUACUGAAUUUUGUGACUUUACUCCAUUCUGUUGUUCCCUGGCCAGGACUUAGAAUUGCUAUUAUGUGGAACUUCGUACCAAAUACUAAGUAAAUCUCCAAAGUAAAGGUGUUUUUAACUGAGGUACUGGUGUGUAGGGGGGAACUUUAAAAAAACAACAACACAAAAAACCCAGUUGCUGGCACUUACCAGUUUUCAGGUGAUUUUUAUGUUUUGCAUUGUGGAAUAAUAGCUUAAAAUCUGGAUACUUCAAAAUCACUUAAUUUAUCUCCCUUUCAUGGUUACUAUUUCAUUGGUUCUUCAUGCUGAAGUAUGAAGGACUAGUCCUAAUGAAAUACAGUCAAACCUCGGUUUUGGAACGUCUUGGCUGCCGAAUGUUUCGGAAGCCGAACGCCGAAAACCUGGAAGUGAAUGCUUCCAUUUUCAAAUGCACCUCGGAGGUCAAACAGCUUCCGAGGCACAUUUAUCCAUUUUUCCAAUGCUAAUCCACUAUUUUACCUUUUGGGGCAGACAGCAUAUUUGAAUUUUCUGUCCCCAGAUGCCACAAUGAUUUCUACAGGCUCUUUUUCUAGGAGGGAAAAAGAGAUGUCCAUCUGCAGCAAAACUGAACUGUAACUAUUCCUGUGACUGUAAUUUGUUUUUAACUGUUUUUAAUAUGAUGUUUUGAAUUGCUGUAACCCACCCUGAGGCAUUAUGGCGAAGGCAGGUAGAAAUUUGAAUUAUUAAUAACAGCAACAACUAUAGCAAUUCUUAAGGUGGCCAUCCUCAAACAAAGGAAUUUCAAAGCAUGCAACUGCUGAAUUACAAUUAAUCAGGAAAUUCAAUUCAAUCACCAGUGACUUAAAUCAAGAUUUAAUCAGACCACACAUGUUAAUUAGUUGACCCGAUGCCCCAUAUUUGUCUUUUCAAUUGUCAUGGUAACUGUUUGUCUUUUAAGUAAGUAUCACUAUUUACUCUUUUUGCAUUUUGUUUGAUCUCAUUCCUUUCCAUUCCAUUCUCUAACCAUAUGUGUGUAUAUGCCUCCUAAUUUAUGAUUACACCAUGCAUCUUCAGAUAUUGAUUCUUGGUUCACGUUUCCUUAAGACCACACUCUUCUUCAUUCCACCUUCCAACCAUGUGUGUGUAUAUGCCUCCCAAUUUAGAAUAACACUUCUGGCCCAUGAAAUAUUAUGUGAUAAGAAAUUGUUAGUCUUUAAGCUACUCCAGGACUCUUUGUUGUCUUUGGCUACUCCCUAUGCUGAGGCCUCAUUUGGGCAGUUUUAGGGUGCUCUUUCAUUACUGAGGGGUUUUUUUCUGCUUCUGCAAACCUUUAGGUUUCCCCAAACCUAUUGAUAUCUCCCUCAUUUGUGUAGAUAGCGCCAUUUUGGCAACAUAAAGAAUGGUCCUUGAAUAAUUCAUAUUUACUUAUAGUAAAAAUAAAAAGGUAAAGGACCCCUGGAUGGUUAUGUCCAGUCAAAGGUGACUAUAGGUUGUGGUGCUCAUCUUGCUUUCAGGCCGAAGGAGCCAGCGUUUGUCCACAGGCCAGCAAGACUAAACUGCUACUGGCGCAACAGGACACCAUGAUGGAAACCAGAGUGCUCAGAAACACUGUUUACCUUCCUGCCACAGUGGUACCUAUUUAUCUGCUUGCACUGGUAUGCUUUCAAACUGCUAGGUUGGCAAGAGCUGGGGCAAAGCAACGGGAGCUCACCCCAUCAUGGGGAUUUGAACUGUUGACCUUCUGUGUCCUAUUGUGUGUAUGUGUAGACUAACCAGCUUUAAAAUGUGAUAAUUCAGAGAGCACAAAGUGAAAUACACACACAUUGCUGUACCAGUAUGUAUGAAUACAUCACUGAACUGGUGAAUUGGUUAUGGCAGAGCUUUCCAAACUGUGUGCCACAACACAUUAGCGUGUCGGCUGCAGUGUGUAGGUGUGUCACAUGAACGCUCCUUGCACUCCUCCCAGGACUGGAAAGGGGUUAUUUUAACUUCUGGUUUGCUAGUCAAACAUUACUUAUUGUGAGAUGAUGCAUGUCUAAAAAUUGUGUCACCAACAUGAAAAGUUUGGCAAUCUCUGGGUUAUGGUAUUGAAAUAACUAUGAAUAUAAUCAGCAAGUGAGAGAUAAUACUCCUGCAGACCAUUGCAUAUUAUCACACCAAUUCUUGUGAUCGCCAUAUUGCAAAAGGUGCCACUGUAAUCAUUGUAAUUGCUGCAGUUUAAAAAUCCUUUUAGUACGGCAAUAUUAAAAUUAUUAAAAUUAUUUGACUUUUAUUAACUUGGUAGAUGAAAAUUUGGUGAAAGAAAAUAUCAUUAAACUGAAGAAUAGGAUUAUUCUACAUGUGAACUGUCAGUAGGUUUUGUUAAUUUGUUACUGCAGUUAUUUUUACUAAAUUCUGAGCACUCUUUUCUACCUCCAGUGGCUUUUAAAAAUACUUGCUCUUUUUAAUAUGGCCAGAAGAUGGCAGUGGAUGGUGUUGAUGAGUACAGUAUCCUUUAUUUUGAACUUCUUCCCAUCAGAGCAAGCAAGCAAGCAAUAAAUAAAUAAAUAAAUUACAAUGCACUUGUUUUGAAUAUUGAGAUCAACAACAAAAAAAUAACAUUUGCACCAGUCUUGCAUACAUAAGGAAAUCUGUUUUAAAGUUUUCUGAAAGUCGAAAGAUACAAAAUGUCCAUACAUCCUGAGGCAGUGGGAAGAAGAAUUCCCAGUUUUUAAUGGAAAUAAAUGAAAUUUUGUGCAAUAAAUAAAUAUAUAUCAC